GCCUCAUGCAUCUGAGGCAAGCGCUCUACCACUGAGCCAACUUCCUGUAUUCAACCAAUGGCUUGCUAGAUAACAAAAUUCACAUGCCAUUUAUACUAUUUCUUCCUUUAUCACUUUCUUUCCAAAACUAACAAAAAAAUGACUAUUCAUACACUUCUACUAUGUAUCCCUUUGACAGGAAUUUAUUUUGUAACUAAGGCUUUUAUGUCCUUCUGCAUUUAGUUGUUAAAUGAAAAGUAGCAUUUUUACAGUAACCUCAGUAAUUUCCAGUUGGAAAUGUAUCUCCUAAAUUAUUAAUGUAGACAAAGCACUUUGUUGUACAAUAAAAUGACACUACACCUAUAAAGACAAAUUUGUAUUUCUAUAAUUACAUAAGCAGAAAUCAUUUACUUUAUUGGCUUAAUGGACUGUGUGUAAUGGAAUGAAAUUCUUCAAUGGUGUGGCAUGUGUCUUAUCAACGAGCACGCGGUUUUGGAAGAUGUUUAUACAUUUAUUUACUGAACAAAAACUUUUAAAACAACUUAUGUGUUCUGGAUACUAUACUAGGUGCUGGAAGGAAUAACUAGAUCAUGCUUUACCACUCAAAUCUGUAUCACAUGUAUAUCUAUCUGAUUACAACUUAGGACCAGAAGAUGACCCAAGAUGUAAAACCUCUUUUUAGUAUGUUGAAAAUGUGGCUAAUUUUGUUCUGUACUCUGUGAAGUGACCUAUAGAAUAACUAAACUCUAACACAGAAAGAUUUUAGUAUACGACUUAAUAUAAGAUUUUUUUUCCCUCAAUUUUCCAGUUUCUGGAUUAGGGAACCAUCCUGAUUUACAUUCACAUUUUCAAAAGACUCAGUACUCAGUGUCUUCUGAUUUAAUUUCACAUAGUGAUUUACACUAAUUAUUACUGAUGCCUUAUGCAGGUGGACAAACUAAUUUAAUAGAUUCAUUAUACCAGUUAAAAUUAAUAUAAGACAUACAAAUAAACCUCAAGGUUUGAUAAACUAGGAAACAAUAGAACAAAAUGAAAAUAAAAGUAUUCAUAAUAAAAUGAUGAGUUUACCAAAUGAAUGUAUUGACAAGUUUGACAAAUAUUUAUUUGAGGAUGUUGUAACAAAAAGCAUUGCUAUGUUUAUUGGGAAAACUUUUUCAGAAAGUACAAUUCUCAAAAAUUAAAGUAGUGAUUUACUUUUUUUUUUUUUUUUUUGUCGGUCAUGGGGCC